rnacentral:misc_RNA from 1 species
AAGUCGUAACAAGGUUUCCGUAGGUGAACCUGCGGAAGGAUCAUUAACACAUUUUGAUUCAAAAACUAUUUGUUUUCUUCUUUUUAGGUGGUAAGAUUUUUCUUGCAUCUAAGAGGAGAAAGCAAAUUAACCCCCUUUCUAUGAUGAAAACAUUACAAAACGGGAUAAUGGACUUGUCAAGUUCUUUUUUUUUAAAAAAAAUUUGACUUUUCCGUUUCAACCGUUUUUUUCCUUUACCCAAUUUUUUUCACCCCUUUUACAACAUGCCAUAGACUGAAACAAAAAACCUUUGCAUUCUAGAAUCUCUAGAAUCUUAAAAAACUAAGAAAACAACUCUUAGCAACGGAUAUCUAGGUUCUC